UACGUAGGGCGCAAGCGUUGUCCGGAAUUAUUGGGCGUAAAGAGCGUGUAGGCGGCCAGGUAGGUCUGCUGUGAAAACUCGAGGCUCAACCUCGAGACGUCGGCGGAAACCAUCUGGCUAGAGUCCGGAAGAGGAGAGUGGAAUUCCUGGUGUAGCGGUGAAAUGCGCAGAUAUCGGGAGGAACACCAACGGCGAAGGCAGCACUCUGGGCUGGAACUGACGCUGAGGAGCGAAAGCGUGGGUAGCAAACAGG
rnacentral:rRNA from 1 species